rnacentral:lncRNA from 1 species
GCUCUUUGGCUCUGACCAUGCCAGCAGGCUUCACGGUUCUCGUUUUCCAAAGAGGAACACAGAUUCAGCGAGCGGCUGCUGGCUUCUGACCCAUUUUGAUGUCAGGGCUUGGCACGUAGGAGGUGUUCAAUGUUGAUCGAUCCAAGGUCGUGCACAUAGGGUCUAAGACGGAAGAGAACUUCCUGCCCCUCUUGGAGCUUCUAUUUUAGAGGGAGACACGGCCAGACAGGUCUCGAACUCCUGGCCUCAAGUGAUCCGCACACCUUGGCCUCCCAAAAUGCUGGGAUUCCAGGCGUGAGCCACCGCGCCUGGCCUGGAGCCAGGGCCCCAUAUUAUCUACCGCUGUCCAUCUGCUCUCCAGCACAUCAGAGCAGCCCUUCCCCUGUGUGAGAUUCCUCUCCAGGGCAAGACUUGAAGGGAGCAUCAAGGUUGCAGUGGAAGAAAUAAAUUGGAAGUGGAGCUGGGCAGUUAUUUAUUUAUUUAAAUAGAGACAAGGCCGAAUGCGAUGGCUCACACCCGUAAUCCCAGCACUUUAGGAGGCCGAGGUGGGUAGACGACCUGAGGUCAGGAGUUCAAGACCAGCCUGAUCAACAUGGCGAAAUCCCGUCUCUACUAAAACUACAAAAAUUACCUGGGCACGGUGACACGCACCUGUAGUCCCAGCUACUCAGGAGGCUGAGGCACAAGAAUUGCUUGAACCUGGGAGGCCAAAAUUGCAGUGAGCCAAGAUUGCACUACUGCACUCCAGCCUGGGCGACAGAGCCAGACUCCAUCUCAAAAAAUAUAUAUAUAUAAAUAAAAAAUAAAUAAAUAGAGACAAGUCUCACUGUGUUGCCCAGGCUGGUCUCGAACUCCUGGGCUGAAGCAAUCUGCCUGCCUUGGCCUCCCAGAGAGCUGGGGUUACAGGUGUGAGGCACGGUGCCAGGCUAGAUCUGGGCAAUGUUUAGGAGGCGGGCUCUAGAGCCAGGCUGCAGGGCUUCAAAUCCCUCUGAGUGUCCUAAGUCAAGUUUGUCAACCUCUCUGAGCCCGUACCCCUCUAUAAAAAGGAGGGAUGCUGGUGAUGAUGAUAAUAGUACCUACUUUACGGGGGUUAUUGUGCGAAUUAAUGGCUGAAGAAUGGUUGAAAUAGCAAGAGUCAAAAACAUGAUCAAUAUGGAAAGCCUAGCAGGAGAAAGUACUAAAGUUCAUUGAUGGGGAGAUGGGGAGGGGGACAGAUGGGGUCUCACCGUUUCCCAGGCUGGUCUCAAACUUCUGGCCUCAAGUGAUCCUCCUGCCUUAGCCUCCCAAAGUGUUGGGAUUAUAGGCAUGAGCCACUGUGCCCAGCCAUUAAAUUCUCCUUCUUUCCUCUUUUGGUGGAAGGGAAGGGAGAAGUGAGACUUUACCAGGAGUCCAUGGAAUGUGGCCCAAAGGCCAAGGACAGAGUACCUUCCAGGACUCUCUCAGAGGGCAGCAGGAGCCCAGGGCUGCUUUCUGCCUAUGACAGGUGUGCAGUAGAAGUGGGUCUUCAGAGGCUGGGCGCAGUGUCUCAGGCCUGUAAUCCUAGCACUUCGGGAGGCAGAGGCGGGCAAAUCACCUGAGGUCAGGAGUUUGAGACCAGCCUGGCCAACAUGGUGAAAGCCAGUCUCUACUAAAAAUACAAAAAUUAGCCAAGUAAUUUUUUUUUUUUUUUUUUUUUUUUGAGGAAUCUUGCUCUGUGGCCCAGGCUAGAGUGCAGUGGUGUGAUCUCAGCUCACUGCAACCUUGGCCUCCCAGGUUCAAGUGAUUCUUGUUCCUUAGCCUUCCAAGUAGCUGGGACUAUGGGACUACAGGUGUGUGUCACCAUGCCCAGCUAAUUUUUGUAUUUUUCGUAGAGACAGGGUUUUGCCACAUUGGCCAGGCUGGUCACAAACUCUUGACCUCUAGUGAUCUGCCCGCCUCAGCCUCCCAAAGUGCUGGGAUUACAGGUGUAAGCCACCACACCUGGCCCAUGCCUGAUAGUUUUGAUUCAUCAUGGAUAAUCUGUCAUUAAAAGAAAUUCAGGGCCAAGUCCAGUGGCUCAUGCCUGUAAAUUCCAGCACUUUAGGAGGCUGAGGUGGGAAGAUGACUUGGGCCUAGGAGUUUGAGACCAGCUGGGGCAACGUAGCAAGACCCUGUCUCUACAAUAAAAUUUAAAAAAAUUAGCUGGGCAUAGUGAGGUGUGCCUGUAGUCCCAGCUACUGGGGAGGCUGAGGCAGGAAGAUUGCUUGAGCCCAAGAAUUUGAGGCUGCAGUAAGCUAUGAUGGUGCCACUGCCACUGCACUCCAGCCUGGGAGCCACAGCAAGAUCCUGAAUCAAAAAGAAUUCAUCUGAGGGUUCACCAAGUUGCUGAUGAGUCUCUAGAAAGUACAAGGAGAAUCCUGGGUUUAGCCAUUGAGUCUCAGGAUGCAGGAAUCAAGAUCAUCACAAUACUGGAUAAACAAGGGGAACAACUCAACCACAUAGAAGACAUGGGCCACAAAAAUACAGACAUGAGAGAGGCAGAGAAGACUUUAACAGAACUUAACAAAUGCCAUGCCCUUCGUGUCUGUCCACAUAAUAGAACAAAGAACUUUGGAUGGCUUGGGCACGAGAAAUUGAGGCUGCAGUCAGCUGCAAUGAGGCCACUCACCCCAGCCUGGGUGACAAAGCAAGAUCACGUCUCUUAAAAAAAAAAAUUGGAAACAUUGACAAAGACAGCCAAGAAGAAGGAAGCUGUAGAAGUGUUUUUUGUUUGUGGUUUUUGUGGUGGAGGGAGGGACAAGAGAUAAGAGGUUAACCUCAGCAAAAACCUAGCUGGGCAUGGUGGCACGUGCCUGUAAUCCCAGCAUUUUGGGAGGCUGAGGUGGAAAGAUUGCUUUCUUUCCACCUGGGAUGUGGAAUCACACAUUCUAUGCACACCUAUGAAUCACUAAGACUUCAGAAGUUAAGCUCCCUUUAAGAAAACUCAUUCUUUUUGGAGCAGAGGUUGCAGAACUGUGAUCCCUAACAAAAAUACUGUGUAUAAAAGCUCCAAAACGAAGUAUUAGCUUAAAGUGGCAAUAACUACAACUUUAUAACCAACUAAAUCUUUACCGUGGCUAUGCAACUUUUUGCUUUGUGGCCAGAAGGUUUUUUUGGUUUUUGUUUUUUUGAGACAGGCUGUCACCCAGGCUGAAGUGCAGUGGCACAAACAAAGCUCACUGCAGCCUCGACCUCCUGGGCUCAAGCAGUCCUCCCCACCCCAGUCUCCUGGGUAGCUGGGACUACAGGCGUGUGCCACCACACUUGCUAUUAUUAUUUUGUAGAGAUAGGGUCUCACUACAUUCCCCAGAUUGGUCUCAAACUCCUGGCUUCUAGCAAUCCUCCCACCAUGCCAGACCCUAGACUUAAAAAGUUAGAAUUGGCUGGAUGUAGUGGCUUACACCUAUAAUCCCAAUACAUUGGGAGGCUGAGGUGGGAGGAUCACUUGAGCCCAGGAGCUGAAGACCAAUUUGGCCAACAUAGUGAGACCCCCAUCUCUAUUUUUAAAAAAAGUUAGAAUUUAUUGUGUUACUAAAAGUGAUUUGGAAAAUUAUACCUUUAGUUUAAUUAUUGGGGAAUUACACUGUCAGUCUCUUACCCUUGUGUAUAGAACUAUGUCCAGAAUCAAAUUUAUGUAGAUCCUAAACACUGUUAUGGGAAUCUGAUUAGUAUUUGUCACAUUGACUUAAAAAUUAGCAUCUCAGUUGGCGUGGUACUCACACCUGUAAUUUCAGCACUUUGGGAGGCCAAGGUGGGAGGAUCACUGAGGCCAGGAGUUCAAGACCAGCCUGGGCAACAUGGUGAAACCCCAACUCUACAAAAAAAUACAAAAAUUAGCCAGGCAAGGUGUCUCACUACUGGCCCUAUAGUUCCGGCUAAUCAGGAAGCUGAGGUGGGAGAAUUACUUGAACCAAGAAGGUUAAGGCUGCAGUGAGCUGUGAUUGCACCACUGCUCUCAGCCUGGGCUACAGGGCAAGACCCUGUCUCAAAAAUAAAUAAAUAAAUUAGCAUCUGAAUAUUUCAAAGCUGUCAAUGUGUACUGGCUGAACCAAUAGCCACUACUUGAUCCUUACAAUUACAUUUUGUAACUAGCAACAACAAAGUUAAUAGAUUCAAGAGGCAUAUAAAGAAUCUCAUGACUAGAAUUUUCCCCCUUUCAUUGGUGAGGGACAUAAACUGACCCAAAACUACGGCUUGAUAUAUGUUUUUUAAAUUACUACACAUUAGAAACAGCUAU